rnacentral:rRNA from 2 species
CUUGGUCAUUUAGAGGAAGUAAAAGUCGUAACAAGGUCUCCGUAGGUGAACCUGCGGAGGGAUCAUUACAAGAAACGACCCCGGUUUUACCACCGGGUGAUUUCAUAACCCUUUGUUGUCCGACUCUGUUGCCUCCGGGGCGACCCUGCCUUCGGGCGGGGGCUCCGGGUGGACAAAUUCAAACUCUUGCGUAACUUUGCAGUCUGAGUAAAUUUAAUUAAUAAAUUAAAACUUUCAACAACGGAUCUCUUGGUUCUGGCAUCGAUGAAGAACGCAGCGAAAUGCGAUAAGUAAUGUGAAUUGCAGAAUUCAGUGAAUCAUCGAAUCUUUGAACGCACAUUGCGCCCCCUGGUAUUCCGGGGGGCAUGCCUGUUCGAGCGUCAUUUCACCACUCAAGCCUCGCUUGGUAUUGGGCGACGCGGUCCGCCGCGCGCCUCAAAUCGACCGGCUGGGUCUUCUGUCCCCUAAGCGUUGUGGAAACUAUUCGCUAAAGGGUGCUCGGGAGGCUACGCCGUAAAACAACCCCAUUUCUAAGGUUGACCUCGGAUCAGGUAGGGAUACCCGCUGAACUUAAGCAUAUCAAUAAGCGGAGGA